CUUCCCUCAAUGUUUGCUGGUUGCGGCACGUUUAGACACAAGCACUGCGUGCCAAGGGGACGAGCCAGGUCCUGCCACUCACCCUCUGGGGCGGGAAGGAAGUCUGAUAGAGGAAGGAAGCUGAGUGGCGAGGUCUGACUCCCUCCCUAAAUGUCUGCUGAGGGCUAAGUGCUCGCUGGCCCAACACGCUGGGCGCUACGAGGCCCACCAGACAGGUCCACACCUUCUCCCCAGCCCUGUGCCCCCUGAAGCUACUGCCUGGCUGUCCCCAUCCUGUUCCAGCCAAACCUCCCCGGACAGGUGCGUGCUCACAGCUCCAAGGCCCUGGCGUCCCCGAUCACCCUGACCCCUGAACCGGCUGUUCCUCCGCUGCACCAGGAGGAACCAGCUCAGCCCCGUGGACCCACGGCUCCCCAUGGCUGUCCCUGUGCCCACCCACUGGACUUCCGAAGUGCAGCACCGAGCUCCUGGCUGCCCGGGCCCAGCCCUGCCGCUGACACCCUCCGGGGACAUCACCAAGUCCUGGCUCAGAGAUCACCUGGCCCUGGAGUAGGUGCCCCAGCCACAUGCCUUGAGUGAGACAGCUCUGUCCCGUCUGCUCCAGAAGUCACCUCUUUGGGAGACAAACAGUCCCCCUGUACAGCACUGCGCCCCACAUCCGCCACCUGAGUGGCAGCCCUCGCCGUGCGAUUCCUCCCCUGACACUGCCACCAUCCUCAGGCCUGCUGCCAAGCCUCAGUCACCCUCUGCCCAACCACAUGGGGAAAGAGAAGGCCCAGCUGCACUUCAAGAAAAGCCGUGGGCAGGGAUCGAACUCAGGACCUUGCAUUUGCCAGGCACAUGAGGCACCACUGAGCUACAUCCCCAGCCCCUCCUCUUUCCUCUUAAAUAAAUGUAUUUAAGUUCAAAGUGGGUUAACAAAAACAAUAUUGAGUUAGUACAGUGCAAAUAGCUCCCUGAUACGGAGAAGACUGGGGAAGACAGUGGCUGACGGAGUGGAGCAGAACCCAGGGGCGGCGGGGAGGCAUCUUCCUGAAAGCCCUGGUGAAAGAGGGUGACCUGAAUAACACAUGCGUGGGGAGCGGCCGGGGGCUCCAGGACCUGGACCUCCCUGUUCCUCCGGUCCUCCCCACCACCAGCUCGGAAGGAAGAGUGGGAGCUUCCUCUGCUAAGGGCCUGGACCCUUCCGGCCUCUCUGCCCUGCUGCUUGUCGUGUCCUCCCCGGAACCAUCAGCUCUGGAGCCCAGCCUGGCCCCACUAAGCCAGGGCACUGCCUGCUGUGCUAGGCAGCCUGGCUCCUCUGCCCUCCCAGCACCCUUGGCACCGCAGCUGCUGACAUCUAAGACAGGUCUCCAAAUUCCACCCUCAGGGGCUCUCUCCUGGCCCAGAGAACUCCUGUUCCUCCUCCCUGCCCCCUCCAUGCCAGUCUCUCCUUGGCUAUCUUUCCUGGGGGAGCAUGCAUGGCUCUGAGGCUGCAGGGACUGGGGGGACUCCGGGACUCACCCUGCUCUCCCAGGCAGAUGAGGGAGGGUUGAGGGGCUGUGGGGAGCAGAUAGACAGCAGGCAGCACUCCUGGCCAGGAGCUGGCACUGGGGUGGCAGAGAGGGAAGGGGUAGAGAGAUAUCUGCUCAUCUGAGG
ensembl:lncRNA